GAGCAGACAUGGAAAGAAUGUUGCAACCUGACGCCACUUCAGCGGUACAAAGUCUAUGGAUUCAUUUGACGACUGAGCCGCCAUAGCAGCAGAUCACUGACAGAACAGCAGCAGCGAUACAAGGGGUCUCAGCUGUCCGAUACAGCAGAGAGGAAUUAGACAAGCUGAGACAAAGAACAAAGACAGUGACACAGGAUGAGUAUCUACAGUUGUGUAACAAGAUGCUAUUAGUGCAAGUAUAGGAACAGUAGUUGACUCAGCUGGGAUCCAUGGAGGACAUGCCGUGACUGUUUCAUCAUGGCAACUCAGUCUCAGACAAGAUUGUUCCAGGUGCUGAUGCGUUACAUUAUGUUCAGCGAUGAUGCUGCCGGGCUGUGGGGGUUUGUACGCUCCGUGCAGCUGCUGUGGCAUCCAGACUGUUUCCUGCAGAAAUUUGAUCAGCAGGUUGGUGGAGAGAGACAGGAUAAGAUCAUCGAGAGGGUCACCCAGCUAUCACAUGGUGCUGAACCAGUUAGGAUACUGGAUUGUAGAUGCUGAACCAGUUAGGAUACUGGAUUGCAGAUGCUGAACCAGUUAGGAUACUGGAUUGCAGAUGCUGAACCUGUUAGGAUACUGGAUUGCAGAUGCUGAACCAGUUAGGAUACUGGAUUGCAGAUGCUGAACCAGUUAGGAUACUGGAUUGCAGAUCCUGGACUGAAUUGGACUGGUCCUGCCUUCAAUAAACAUCCAUGCGGUUUAGAUUGUUUUGCAUGUUUAGUAACUCAGAGUAAUGUGGUUUGGUUAUUCACUCAAAUAUUGUGCUCCCUGUAAUUCCUUUUACCAAGUUUUCAGUUACUUGCUUACAGGCAAUAAACAGUCAUUGAAUGACGCAAGGUUGGGUAUGGGUGCAUCGUACCCAUCGAUUGAACACAGCCUCAAUAUCUCUCACUUGGAUAUAAUUUUAAAUUAAAGUCUGAGAACAGUUGAGAAGAGUCGUUUUCAUGCCCUUUGUUGGUCCAUGCGAUCCUGGGUCAAUGUUAGCUGUUAUUUCAGUAUAUUUCCUAUUUCCUUAGUAGGCGUCUACAUACAUGAAAUUUAGAUUUUUUUUAUAACCACAGUCUGUGCAAUUACUGAGACUCCGACCCCCAAGAAAAGUUCUUUAUUGCUGUAUAUUCAAACAAUACAAAAAGUAUGCACUUUUGCAUGAGAACAACAAAUUUGGCCCAUAUUUGGUUAUGUAAUAAAUUAUACUUAGAUUGUCAUUAUAUGUAGCCCUGUAAUAAGUCAGUUCUUGUAGGGAAAACUGGUUCCCGAUAUCCCUGUCAGAAAUGAUAAUGCAGGCAAACAGUCUCGUGUACUCAGUAGGGUAGGGGGCCUGUUUGCAUGGAAAAGCUGCCAAAUUAAAUGCUACUUGUUCUGAGGGUUGUAAAUGUCCCAAAACAGAA